rnacentral:snoRNA from 1 species
AUGAGAUGAUGAUUGCAUAGUUCAGCAGAUAAUGAUGAAGACAAUGAGUUUCGUCU